rfam:Chelonia mydas contig204729, whole genome shotgun sequence.
UGGGAUGAAAUCCUGUUCCCAUUGAAGUCAAUGGGAGUUUUGCCAUUGACUUCAAUGGGAACAGGAUUUCACCCUA